rnacentral:rRNA from 1 species
UACGAAGGGGGCUAGCGUUGCUCGGAAUCACUGGGCGUAAAGCGCACGUAGGCGGCUUUCUAAGUCAGGGGUGAAAUCCUGGAGCUCAACUCCAGAACUGUCUUUGAUACUGGAGAGCUUGAGUCCGGAAGAGGUGAGUGGAACUCCGAGUGUAGAGGUGAAAUUCGUAGAUAUUCGGAAGAACACCAGUGGCGAAGGCGGCUCACUGGUCCGGUACUGACGCUGAGGUGCGAAAGCCAGGGGAGCAAACGGG